GCCCUCUGUUGGCCCAGGGCUCUCAGAAAUCUUGGGAGUUUGGCGUGCCCACCUCUUAAAAUGGUACCAGGUCCACACAGAUAUGAACUGGCCCGUGAUCUGGCAGAUGGGGUCACUGUGGAUGGAAACUCAGGAGUGAUCACCACCGGGGAAGCACUCUGACCGAGUCCCCUCACGUACAUGAUAGCUUUUACACAAUCACUCUUCAUGCUGUUGACAAUGGUCCUUCCACCAGGGACUGGGGCAGAAAUGCUGAUGUCUUUCUUGUCUAACAUCAAGGACAACUCCCCAGCUCCCAGCCCCUCUUCCCCUACCUGGCCUGUGAGUCUGUAGUGGGCAGCCCAGGAAGGCCGUUUACAUUUGAAUAGGACAAUACCUGUGCAAAUGCAGAAGACACCUGGAAAUUGGAGAAAAAUCAUGGUGAGUGGGUCAGAGAUAAAGGGUUGAGAAUGACAGAAUCCCAAUUCAAAUGCAUUUGGGCAA